UACGAAGGGGGCUAGCGUUGUUCGGAAUUACUGGGCGUAAAGCGCGUGUAGGCGGGUCUUUUAAGUCAGGGGUGAAAUCCUGGAGCUCAACUCCAGAACUGCCUUUGAUACUGAGGAUCUUGAGUUCGGGAGAGGUGAGUGGAACUGCGAGUGUAGAGGUGAAAUUCGUAGAUAUUCGCAAGAACACCAGUGGCGAAGGCGGCUCACUGGCCCGAUACUGACGCUGAGGCACGAAAGCGUGGGGAGCAAACAGG
rnacentral:rRNA from 1 species